rfam:Ailuropoda melanoleuca scaffold342_122, whole genome shotgun sequence.
ACCCAAGGAAAGCUAGGAGGCUGUACAGUUAUCUCCCUUGAUGUAAUUCUAAACUAUACAACCUACUACCUCAACCUGGGAG